rnacentral:rRNA from 1 species
CCUACGGGCGGCAGCAGUGAGGAAUAUUGGUCAAUGGCCGGGAGGCUGAACCAGCCAAGUCGCGUGAGGGAAGACGGCCCUACGGGUUGUAAACUUCUUUUGUCAGGGAGCAAGGUGCAGGUCGGGACCUGCUGUGAGAGUACCUGAAGAAAAAGCAUCGGCUAACUCCGUGCCAGCAGCCGCGGUAAUACGGAGGAUGCGAGCGUUAUCCGGAUUUAUGGGGUUUGAAGGGUGCGCAGGCGGAGGCACAAGUCAGCGGUAAAGUCGCGGGGCUAAACCCCGCGCCGCCGUUGAAACUGUGUCCCUUGAGUGCGCGAAGGGUAGGCGGAAUGCGUGGUGUAGCGGUGAAAUGCAUAGAUAUCACGCAGAACUCCGAUCGCGAAGGCAGCCUACCGGCGCGCAACUGACGCUCAUGCACGAAAGCGUGGGUAUCGAACAGGAUUAGAUACCCGAGUAGUC